CUCCUCCUAAGUUUAGUAGUUGACAGCAUGUAUGUUUAGUCUUUUGUAUAUCAUGUAGUUAGCUCAAACUAGUGAUUUGCAUGCUUAUGAAAUCUGAGUUUGGAGCUUAAAAUGUUAGUUAAAUAUACAUGUUGGACUUGGAUUUAACUUAGGAGAAAACUGACGUUUCUACACUGUCAUAUGUUAAAACUACCAGAUUUAACUCUAGG
rnacentral:lncRNA from 1 species